rnacentral:rRNA from 1 species
CCUACGGGCGGCAGCAGUGGGGAAUAUUGCUCAAUGGGGGAAACCCUGAAGCAGCAACGCCGCGUGGAGGAUGAAGGUUUUCGGAGUGUAAACUCCUUUUGUUAGAGAAGAUAAUGACGGUAUCUAACGAAUAAGCACCGGCUAACUCCGUGCCAGCAGCCGCGGCACUACGGCGGGUGCAAACGUUACUCGGAAUAACUGGGCGUAAAGCGGGCGUAGACGGGAUAUCAAGUCAGUUGUGAAAUCCUAUGGCUUAACCAUAGAAUUGCAUUUGAAACUGUCAUUCUAGAGUAUGGGAGAGGUAGGUGGAAUUCUUGGUGUAGCGGUGAAAUCCGUAGAUAUCAAGAAGAACACCGAUUGCGAAGGCAGCUUGCUAGAACAUAACUGACGUUGAUGCACGAAAGCGUGGGGAGCAAACAGGAUUAGAUACCCCAGUAGUC